rnacentral:rRNA from 1 species
GACGAACGCUGGCGGCGUGCCUAAUACAUGCAAGUAGAACGCUGAAGAGAGGAGCUUACUCUUCUUGGAUGAGUUGCGAACGGGUGAGUAACGCGUAGGUAACCUGCCUUGUAGCGGGGGAUAACUAUUGGAAACGAUAGCUAAUACCGCAUAACAAUGGAUGACACAUGUCAUUUAUUUGAAAGGGGCAAUUGCUCCACUACAAGAUGGACCUGCGUUGUAUUAGCUAGUAGGUGAGGUAAUGGCUCACCUAGGCGACGAUACAUAGCCGACCUGAGAGGGUGAUCGGCCACACUGGGAAUGAGACACGGCCCAGACUCCUACGGGAGGCAGCAGUAGGGAAUCUUCGGCAAUGGGGGCAACCCUGACCGAGCAACGCCGCGUGAGUGAAGAAGGUUUUCGGAUCGUAAAGCUCUGUUGUAAGUCAAGAACGGGUGUGAGAGUGGAAAGUUCACACUGUGACGGUAGCUUAACAGAAAGGGACGGCUAACUACGUG